CCAGGUCAGGCGGGGCCACCC
rnacentral:rRNA from 1 species